rnacentral:rRNA from 1 species
GAUUUUCCGGUUGAUCCCAGCCGGACCUGACUGCUAUCGGAUUGGUACUAACCCAUGCGACUCGUUGACAACUACAAGGCGGACUCUCAGUAACACGUACUUACUUAACCUAUGGAUGGGAAUAACCUCGGGAAACUGAGAAUAAUACCCAAUGGGCCACAGUGCCUGGAACUGGCCUGUGGUUGAAAUGAUUUAUCGCCGCUAGGAUAGGACUGCCGCCUAUCACCUUGCUUGGUGAGGUAAUGGCCCACCAAGGCUAUAACAGGUACGGGCUCUGACAGGAGGGGCCCGGAGAUGGGUACUGAGACACGGACCCACGCCCUAUGGGGCGCACCCACGCGACAAACCUUUGCCAUGUGCGAAAGCACGACAAGGUUAAUCCGCAGUGUCUCCCUGCUAAAGCGAGCUCUCCCGUCCGCUUGUACGAAUCACUGGUGCAAUAAGGGGUGGG